rnacentral:rRNA from 1 species
CCUACGGGGCGCAGCAGUGAGGAAUAUUGGUCAAUGGUCGGGAGACUGAACCAGCCAAGCCGCGUGAGGGAGGAAGGUACAGAGUAUCGUAAACCUCUUUUGUCAGGGAACAAAGACUGGGACGCGUCCCCGGAUGAGUGUACCUGAAGAAAAAGCAUCGGCUAACUCCGUGCCAGCAGCCGCGGUAAUACGGAGGAUGCGAGCGUUAUCCGGAUUUAUUGGGUUUAAAGGGUGCGCAGGCGGAGGUGCAAGUCAGCGGUCAAAUUGCGGGGCUCAACCCCGAACUGCCGUUGAAACUGCAUCCC